UAGAGUUUGAUUCCUGGCUCAGAACGAACGCUGGCGGGCGUGCUUAACACAUGCAAGUCGUACGAGAAAAGAGGGGCAACUCUCUGAGUAAAGUGGCGCACGGGUGAGUAACGCGUGGGUAACCUACCCUUGAAUUGGGGAUAACUCCGCGAAAGCGGGGUUAAUACCGAAUAAUAUUCCGAUGCCCUCGGGUGUUGGAAUCAAAGAUGGCCUCUGCAUGCAAGCUAUCGUUUAAGGAUGGGCCCGCGUACCAUUAGCUUGUUGGUAGGGUAAAAGCCUACCAAGGCAACGAUGGUUAGCUGGUCUGGGAGGAUGGCCAGCCACACUGGAACUGAGACACGGUCCAGACUCCUACGGGAGGCAGCAGUGGGGAAUCUUGCGCAAUGGGGGAAACCCUGACGCAGCAACGCCGCGUGGGUGAUGAAGGCCUUCGGGUCGUAAAGCCCUGUCAGGUGGGAAGAAACUUAUGGAUGUUAACACCAUCCAUACUUGACG
rnacentral:rRNA from 1 species